AGAGGCGGGGUCACCUGGACGGGUCACCUGGACGGGUCAGUCUGUCGCAGGGAAGACAACAAUGUGCAUAGUAUUUCUUUAUUAGUGUUUGAAAUACGACUUUGUCUUUUCUAGUUGUUAUGGUAACUCAAACUGGAAACAAGAAAGCCGCAUUUCACUCAUGCGGAUGUGACGUCAGCGCCGUAGUGCAAAGAGCCCGUUUGUUGUGUUAUAAUUAUAAUCCAGGUAGAAAUUAUUAAAAUGUGUAAAACAUGGACAACAAUCAAUGAAACCUUUUACCAACAGCUGUAAUAAUGUUUACUAUUUUAGAGUUAUGAUAGAUUUUCCUCUGGUUAAAUGAUGAUAUUGAAACUUUUGGGAGAAACAUUAGAAUUGAAACUUGAUCUGAACUUGAUAAGAAUUAAACACGUUUAUCUUUCAAAGUGACUAAAGAUGAUAUUUAUCGCAACAAGUUGCCAUCAUAAUGCAGCUUCAGACUGAACUGAAGAGGUUUUAAAUAUAGACAGAACAUAUGCAGAUUUUAGCCGUUUUUCAGUUUAUUACGGAACAAUUACAUUCAAUUUCCAUUGCAAAAUAUCCUAGAAGGACCAGCAAUAUUUUUUAUUUAUUUUUCUUAUCAGGCCACUUUGUUGUUGUUUUUUUGCUAAAGUUUUAUAUUCUUCUUCACUGUAAAACAUAAAAGCAGUGAUGAAAUGGUGGUUCUGUAGUUGUGUCUCUGAACAGUUCAGAGAAGGAGGAUAAAUAAAGAUCUAAGCUUCACUGUAAAGUUGUUCACCUCUGAUGUAGAAUAAUCUAAAGGCUGAUUUAGGUCAAUCUGUCAGUUUCCCUCUGGGUUCCUUAUGAAACCGACCUUCAGUGUUUUAUAACCGGACAGGAGAACAGCACAUGACCUCUGACCCUCACCUCCAGCCAGCCUCCACAUACAAAUUAAUCCGAUUUUAGAAGCGAUUAUUAAGAUGAUGGCUGGUUAUGACCAGGAUGGAUCUUUGCGGCUCAUAACAUUAGUUCUCAAAUCAAAAUAAUACAUUUUACAAACAAAAAAAACUACUUUGGUUGAUAGAUUUAAGAGACACAAACAAUCCCCUGAGACACACGGGGAGAUGUAUCUCAGUAAUAUUCAUAUCGAACAAUAAUAAUCCCGCAGGAACCGGCUUCUUCUCCACCGGAAGUUCUUAUCAGCCUUUCCGAUGCUAACUCGUUAGCUCUAACCCCUGAAAGCCGCUGUUUUUAAGCUCCAGAGGCAGAUAGUGGCCUUUAUCUGAACUGAAACAAACACACCGGCAGCUUCUGCGGACACACGGAGCAGAAGAUUUGUCUCCUGAUGGAUUUAUGCUCCUGUUUUUAGGAGGAAUCUGUUCCAGUCCAGACCUGCAUGUGCUAACAGUCCGACACGACUCUGGCUGCCUUGACUAACGUCUCAGCAGUAUGGGACCUGACUGCAGCCACAACUUGCUCCUGUACACAUGGAACUUCCUGCAACUCUGACGGUAAGCUGACCACUUCUACGGGAGACACAACACCCAGAGCACAACGGGGUCUUAGUGUGACUGUACACACCCCUACAUUCACCACAGGAACAUAAACAGCGCCCUGAAAAACCUGCCAAAGGGAAGGAGAUACUAACAAACCCUCAGGUAAGCCAAACGUCACAUCUAUAGGCUCAAUUAAUGCUGCCCCAGCCUGUGCUAGUAUGGCCGAACAAGGGGCAGGUAUAAAUUUAGUCGUGCCUGCAGGGACUACAACAGGUCUUCUACCACGAAGCUUUGCAACACUGGUUUGAAUAUGGCCUUUUUGAACCUCAGCCUGGUGACAUAACUGAACUGCAGGAAGCCAGGAAGUGGAGGCCCCCAAAACAGAAGGGAGUUUAAACAAAUCAGGGCCAUAAUGGUCAAAUAGCUGAAGAUAGAAGGCCUUUAUUAUAUUCAUCCCAAUUAUACCUGGUAUCCGAGGUAAACUGGCCUGACCUGGAGGGUCCCUAACAACAAGGAUCCCUCUUCAGGGGAUUACCACCCCACACACCUCAAUAUCAGGCUAACCCAAAUAAGGAAUACUCAAACCAUUUGCAGCUCUCAACUCUAACCAAUGGCAUAUCUUUAACUUAUCUGGGAAAUGCCUUUUAAAGAAGCUUUCUGAAAUGGUAGAAACCAUAGAACCAGUGUCCUGGAUACACUGGACUGGAACUCCAGAUAGUUUUACAGUAACUUGGGGGCAAGGUGCAAUUAAACAUUCCUUCACCUCAUCUACUUGGGGACCCACUGAGCCUGAACCACCCCCUCCUAAUGUCCAGCUCCUAACACUAGGGGGAGUUAGUUUUCCUGCACCUGAGAACUAGUGGUGGCUUGGACCUGAGGGGCACCACAUGCAAAACGGCCACGAGCGGCACAAUACCGGGCAAUGUGGCCUGGUUGCUGACACUUGUGACAAAUCACACUACUAGCACUGGGAGGCCUAGCCACAGGAGACUGCUGCAUAGCUGCAAGGGAUUGAGUAAUCUGAUCCAGCUGUUCCUGCUGUUUUUGUACAAAUGCAGUAAGAGUAGCAAGCUGAGAGGCAACAGAACUGGAGGGAGAGUCAAUUAGUGAAGGGGACCCACUGGCACCCUGUACAGCACAAAAAGAGGGGCCAACACUACUUUUACUUUCCACCCCACCUUCACGCUCCCAUAUAAUGGCCUCAGCUCUAACCUCCAGUAAUGUAUACCUCGGAUUAUCACGAGCAUAACGUUUCAGCUCUCUACGCAGGUCAGAAUUACUAACAUUUUGAAUAAAUUGAUCACGAAGUAAGAUGUCUGCAUUUGCCAUGGCAUGGGGAGAAUUAGAUUUAACUUUGUCCAUCAAGCAAAACAAUGAAUGAGAGAAUUCCUGCAAAGAUUCAACAUCUAACUGUCUCUGUGAAAAGAAGUCCUCCUGUAAUGAGACUGUUCUUUUAAAAUGGUGAAAACAGUUUCUGGAUUCUCACGUUCAGCUGACGAUCUAUAUUUAAUCUCAUCUCGAGCUUCACCUUCAAGAUGGUGAUGUGGAAAAAUUACAAUUAGGUUACACCUGCUAGUUGUAUUGCUAUAUGUUUAUUCUAAGUUCUGUAUAUUCCCACCAGGUUUUCGCUGUUUGGGUUACAUGCACAAGGUUGGACGUUGUUUUUCCCAGCUGCAUGGGAACCAGUCUGUUUCCCUGCUUUGGAUCCUUUAUCCCUUUGUACAAAACUCAUGUGUUGGCUCUGCCUGGCAGAGCUUUCCGUUCAGACUUGCUUCAUUAUUGACUGUCCUGUGAGCUCUCUGAGUUGUGCGCAAUUCAUGAAUAAACCUGAUUGAGUGAUUUUACCUGAACAGUGCUUGGAAAGAGUUUUUUUCCACGACAAUGGUCAAAAAUGAAAGCAGCCUGAUCUGUGGGUCCAACAUGGCGGACUCGCAUGCUGGUGCGAACCUCUUCUAUCCACUACUCCACCCCAACACCAUGAGUUCCUCUAAAGCUUGGACACUUUCUCUCCCUUGGCAGGUAGAUUAUGCAGUCAGCUGUCCCAUUGUUCAUCGGCGAUCCACUUGUACUCGGGCCAGCUUGUACAUCAUCCUGCUGAUUUGAAUUUGCUAGUGCAGAAUCCCUCUCCUCCUGCAGGUGGCUCCUUUCGGCCUCCAACUGCUGGACUCGAGCACGAAGUUCCUGAAGUUCCUCAGCCAUCGCACCGGGAACUUGAUCCUUAUUCACAGCUGGAAAUAUCCAGCCAGGUCCCACGAUGUGCCUACAGUGGAACUAUUAUGCUCUCACCCUCUAAGCACUCCCAAAAAAUACAGCAAUUAGGCUCUCUACUUAAGCACCACUACCACAGAACCAACACUGUCAAUAUCAGGAGAGAAAAAAAAGAAAAAAAGAAAA